GCGGUUUUGGUAGCGGUUUUUUUCUCAAAAUGGUAUAAAAUAAUGCUAUUUUUAAGAUAAACUUAAACAAUAAAACGCCUAUUUUUCAAUACUUUGAUAAAAAAUGAUAACAAAACGCAUUAGGCUUAGGAUCUGGUGCAGCAAUGCGUGAAGGUUCAAGUCCUUUCAUCCGCACCA
rnacentral:tRNA from 2 species